rnacentral:rRNA from 1 species
UACGGAGGGUGCAAGCGUUGUUCGGAAUCAUUGGGCGUAAAGCGCGUGUAGGCGGCUUGGUAAGUCGGGAGUGAAAGCCCGGGGCUUAACCCCGGAACUGCAUUCGAAACUGCCUCGCUAGAGUCCCGGAGGGGAAGGCGGAAUUCCCGGUGUAGAGGUGAAAUUCGUAGAUAUCGGGAGGAACACCCGUAGCGAAGGCGGCCUUCUGGACGGUGACUGACGCUGAGACGCGAAAGCGUGGGGAGCAAACAGG